rnacentral:lncRNA from 1 species
UUUUUUUUUUUUCCUUCUUAGUCGUGUGUACAUCAUUGGGAAUGGAGGGAAAUAAAUGACUGGAUGGUCGCUGCUUUUUAAGUUUCAAAUUGACAUUCCAGACAAGCGGUGCCUGAGCCCGUGCCUGUCUUCAGAUCUUCACAGCACAGUUCCUGGGAAGGUGGAGCCACCAGCCUCUCCCUGACAAGCAAAGUGGAUCAGCAAAGGCUGCAGUCACCAGCAUCUUUUCCAACCUUAAUGAACUGUAUCCUCAAAAGAACACUAUCAGACUGGCUCUGCCGACUUCCAGUUCUGGAACAAGAUGGUUAAACUCAUUUUUCCCUGCUCUGCUCCUCUAAAUACAACUAAGUACCUUGGAAACUAUUCAGCAGACAAUGAUAAAGGGCUCUGAAAGCUAGAAGAAAAGGUGUACUUGCAAGAAACCUCAGGACUUGAGUAACAGCAACAUGUGUGUGGCUUCCUUCCACUGCACUCAUAAGGAGCAGGCACAGAGAAAGAGCACCCUCACUACAUGGCUGGGGUCACAAGUGGCCUGACAAUAUCCAACUGUCCUGGAAAAAUGAAAAAAAACAGACUUCUGCCCAGAAUUAUUCUUCUAUGGUGCUGGUGGAAGUGGGAUGAGGCCUGUUUCAAAGUGAAUUUAAAGGAGUGAAGCUAGUGGACUGUGAGUUGGACUAAAAUGCAGGAGGCCAAGCAAAUGGCCAUCAGAAGCCCUGCCCCAGGCCUGUGCCAAUUCCCAUGAGGGCGUGAGCUGGAUGCUGCAGCUGGACUCUGCUGUAAUGGACACGGUGGCCCUCUGGGACCUGAUGCUGACAGUGCAUCCUGUGACCAUGGGAAAGCCUGCAACCAGAAAAGCCAGCAGCACAAAGGGGCGUAGCACUUAAGUCUGUUGUUAUUACUGCUAUUGCCUCUUCAGAAUACUUCCCAAUAACAUGCUCGUCGAAAUGGAAUGAAAACCAACACCAAAUGCUUCCCAGUUAAUAACAGAUCGCUCGAACUGUGCAAGAUACAGGCAGAUAUUAACUCUUGUUCUGACUCAAUUUCACUUUAUCAUGAAAAUACACUGGACCAAAUCUAUGCAUCUGAGUCCAGACUGGAGUUGCAUCACAAAAAGUGAUGAGGAAAGACGCAAAAAUAGUCUGAAAUUUUGCCACAGAUGCAACUGAAUUUAUAAAGGGUCCUCAGGUCUUCCACAGCGCCCACUUUCAGGUUCUAAUCCAUUUUGUGAGUAUGUGCAAGGUAUAAAUUCACAGUCACCAAAGGCAGCGGCAACACAACACCUCAACCUCGACGCCAUGAGCUACAACCUGGUUCACUGUUCAAGUCUGAAAUCUGCCCUGGACAUUUCUUAAUGACUAAUCCACACGAGACCGGGCUACAUGACUGUCUCUCCACAAACCCCCUUCUCAUUGGGUGGGGGAUACCUCCAACACACCGUCGCGGGAACCACCUGCCAUGCAUCAGGCUGAGACAACUGUCCCCUCAGACCCCGAAUGGCCCCCACAGACACCAGCCGCAGCUGCAGCUCCACUGUUUACACAAGCUCUGCCGCGCUUGUUUGACAGAAUGGGAUUGUGAUAAGGCCAGGGCAUUUCCCCUUUUCCUUCCAUAACAAGAUUGGAGGAAAUCAGCUUUAUGUAAGCGAUUCCUGUAGAGGCACUCUGUAACCACAGUCUGUGAUUUUUAUCUGUUUUACACACAAGAUUGCUUUGUUUUGAUUUAACUUUCAAAAUUACUUUGCUGCCUCUGUGUGAGAAUAAUUUAGGGGAAGGUUAAUUUUAGUGUAGACUAAUAUUAAUAGGUUGAAAGAGACUUAUUCAAAAUAAAACCACAACUUACUAAAAUGAAGAAA